rnacentral:miRNA from 10 species
UGAGGCAGGAGAAUCGCUUGAACCCAGGAAGUAGAGGCUGCAGUGAGCCGAGAUCGAGCCACUGCACUCCAGCCUGGGUGACAGAGCGAGACUCCAGUCUC